rnacentral:lncRNA from 1 species
ACUAUCAGAAAAUUCCUGGAUAUGAACUGAAAGUACUGGACAUUUUGCCUAAACUGACCACAACUUACUGGAAGGAAAGGAUCAGAACUUUACGGCUGUCCUAUUGCUUGACAUUACUGAUGGCAAUGACACAGACAAGUUUGGCGACUUUCACACUCAGCUCCCCAGUUCUAUAAUGCACUUGUUGGCAGAACUCAAAGCCCUUUGGAAAGGAGGUCAGUAUCAUUCACUUCACUGUGUGAUAAAAACAUGGAG